rnacentral:rRNA from 1 species
GACGAACGCUGGCGGCGUGCUUAACACAUGCAAGUCGAACGGAAAGGCCCGGCUUUUGUGGGGUGCACGAGUGGCGAACGGGUGAGUAACACGUGAGUAACCUGCCCUUGACUUUGGGAUAACUUCAGGAAACUGGGGCUAAUAUCGGAUAGGAGCUCCUGCUGCAUGGUGGGGGUUGGAAAGUUUCGGCGGUUGGGGAUGGACUCGCGGCUUAUCAGCUUGUUGGUGGGGUAGUGGCUUACCAAGGCUUUGACGGGUAGCCGGCCUGAGAGGGUGACCGGCCACAUGAGGACUGCGAGACGGCCCAGACUCGUACGGGAGGCAGCAGGCGGGAGUAUUGCACAAUGGGGGGAAGCCUGAUGCAGCAACGCCGCGUGCGGGAUGACGGCCUUCGGGUUGUAAACCGAUUUCGCCUGUGACAAAGCGUGAGUGACGGUAAUGGAUCAAGAAGCACCGGCUAACUACGUG